rnacentral:tRNA from 1 species
GGAGAGAUGCCAGAGUGGUUGAUAGGGGCGGUCUCGAAAACCGUUAAACCCAGUGAUGGGUUUCCCGGGUUCGAAUCCCGGUCUCUCCG